ACCUGUAGCUAGAUCUCCCUCCUAACCCAUUUCCUCUUCUCAAAGAGAGAUCAGUGGUGGUAAUGAAAUGUUGCGACUCUCAAUUUGACAGCCCAUGCGACUAUCUUCACCACUACUUAGUUACCUGUAGAGCAACAUUUCCAGGCCGGAAGUACACACUUGAAUGAUCGUUCUGAAAAUGAGAAAGAAAAACCCCACACUUUGAUGCACAGGUUACUGAAGCCAAUGAAACUACAUUGCUAAAGAAGUCAUGAUGUCCAGGAUCCAUGAUACUUAAGAUCAGAGAUGAGAACAGAGAUAUUGCUGGUACUGUUCUGUGACUCCCUUAUACUGUGUAACAAAGUCUCCCCAAAUCUUAGCAGCUUCCAGAAAUUUCCUGCUUGCUUGCGUUACCUAAGAGUUGAUGGUCAGCUGGGAUUCUGAGGAGCUUGGCGAGGCUUGGCCAGGUUGCUAGAUUAAACACAUCUUCUCAUGUUGGAGCCAAGCUGAAGGAAUAGCUACUCUCUGGACAAGUGAUGCUCUUGG